AGUGAACGCUGGCGGCAUGCUUUACACAUGCAAGUCGAACGAGUCCAAUACAGUGUAUCGUAUUGAGGCGAGUGGCAGACGGGUGCGUAACACGUGAUCAAUCUGCCCUUGAGCGGGGGAUAACCCACCGAAAGGUGAGCUAAUACCGCGUAAGACCACAUCCUCGCAUGAGGAAGGGGUCAAAGCUCCGUAAGGGGCACUCAAGGAGGAGAUCACGGCCUAUCAGCUUGAUGGUGAGGUAAUGGCUCACCAUGGCUUCGACGGGUAGCCGGUUUGAAAGGAUGAUCGGCCACAAUGGCACUGAGACACGGGCCAU
rnacentral:rRNA from 1 species